UGGGGGAUUUUGCACAAUGUGCGCAAGCCUGAUGCAGCGACGCCGCGUGAGGGAUGAAGGCCUUCGGGUUGUAAACCUCUUUCGCUGGGUUGACAGGCCAUGCUUUGGGUGUGGUUGAUUUGAACUGGUAAAGAAGUACCGGCUAACUACGUGCCAGCAGCCGCGGUAAUACGUAGGGUACUAGCGUUGUCCGGAUUUAUUGGGCGUAAAGGGCUUGUAGGUGGUUUGUCGCGUCUGUCGUGAAAUCCUGUGGCUUAACCAUGGGCUUGCGGUGGGUACGGGCAGGCUUGAGUGCGGUAGGGGAGACUGGAAUUCCUGGUGUAGCGGUGGAAUGCGCAGAUAUCAGGAGGAACACCGGUGGCGAAGGCGGGUCUCUGGGCCGUUACUGACACUGAGGAGCGAAAGCGUGGGGAGCGAACAGG
rnacentral:rRNA from 1 species